UACGAGAGCCCCAAGCGUUAUCCGAAAUUACUGGGCGUAAAGGGUGCGUAGGCGGCUGUGUUAGUCUUGUGUCAAAGCUCCCGGCUUAACCGGGAAAAGGCACCAGAUACGGCACAGCUAGAGGAGGUAAGAGGUGUGUGGAACUCAUGGUGUAGGGGUGAAAUCCGUUGAUAUCAUGGGGAACACCUAAAGCGAAAGCAGCACACUGGUACCUUCCUGACGCUGAGUGCACGAAAGCGUGGGUAGCGAA
rnacentral:rRNA from 1 species